rnacentral:lncRNA from 1 species
UGUCAGCCUUUUCAGUAUUGAAGACUAUCGAAUAUAAUUAUACACACUAGGACUCCAUAUUAGCAUCAAAGCAGGCUCUGAAGGUUCAGUUUGUUGUUUAGAUCUUCUUAGCACUUACCAUCUUUCUUUGAAAACAAAAGAUCCUUCACCCCAUCCCUUCCCCACCACCUCUUGGCCGGACCUCAACUUAUGCCGGCUACCAUGAUGUCACUUUCCGGUGAUCCACC